GGGGAUAUAGCUCAGUUGGUAGAGUGCUUGCCUUCUAUGCACGAGGCCCUGGGUUCAAUCCCCAGCGCCACCA
rnacentral:tRNA from 1 species